rnacentral:lncRNA from 10 species
UAACUUUCUUGCUAUAGAGAAUGACUUAUGACUAAACCUGAUGAUGAACAGAGCUUUCUCUUUGUGGUUUUCAAUAACAUAACCCAGAUAGAAACAAGGCUGCAGAUAUUUAUGCCUCUCCCUUGUCUCUUUGAAAGUUUAAAAUCAUCCCCUAAUUAAACCGGAAGACAUUGUGCAUGAUUUUUUUUUAAAGGCUGUAACAGCAAAGACAAGCUAGCUAGCUAUUCAGUUAUCUGGUGAAUAGCUAUUUACUGAACCUCUUUCCUUUUCUUCUCAAGCUCACAGUUAUACUCUAUUUACAGCCUCCCUUGCAGAGGGACUAGGACUUAACUGAGAAAGAUGGAAAAACAAGCCACGGAAGUAACUUUUCACAUAAAAGUGAAUUUAAGGCACCUGAGACUU